UGUGUUUGUGUCUUUCCUGUGAACAGAGUUGAAUUUGAUGUACAUGUCCUUCCUGUCUAAUAAGGAAGGGCUGAUUCAGCCUUGGGGUCAGUGUAUAUGCAGAAUAUUCUCCCCAGCUUGGUGAUGCAGAUGUAUAGAACUUAAUGUAACCUCUUUUAAUUCUGCAGAUAUAAUUGCUCUCUCAUUUUUCAGCCAUGCUUCUAACCUCAACAGAGGUUUUUUUUUGCUAUGCUCUUCCCCAUAUCCUUAUCUGUGGUUAGCAUGUGUUCAGGGCAGGCAGGGCCUCCUCUGCACUUCCCCGAUUAAGCUUCCGAGUCCAAGAGAAGAGGACAGACAGGUGCUUUCACACCCACAUUUACUCAGGACUCACACAGACUCAAAAUACAUUAAAGAAACAUGCCAGAAUUCGUCAACCUGACCUAUGACCUUACUCAGUGGGAGGAAUCUUUGGUUAUGUGGUUAAGCAGUUGUGUGUCUGUUAACACAACCCACAUGGAUAACACACAACCUAGAAUUCAUGAAGUUAGACAAAAGUACUUUAGUAAGACCUUCUAUUAUGCCUAACAGGCUUUUUGUUCUUUUCUAACUACCAAGAAAUGUCAAAUAAACACUUGAUUGUUAUCUGA